UACCAGCACCCCGAGUGGUCGGGACGUUUAUUGGGCCUAAAGCAUCCGUAGCCGGUUCUACAAGUCUUCCGUUAAAUCCACCUGCUCAACAGAUGGGCUGCGGAGGAUACUAUAGAGCUAGGAGGCGGGAGAGGCAAGCGGUACUUAGUGGGUAGGGGUAAAAAUCCGUUGAUCCAUUGAAGACCACCAGUGGCGAAGGCGGCUUGCCAGAACGCACUCGACGGUGAGGGAUGAAAGCUGGGGGAGCAAACCGGG
rnacentral:rRNA from 1 species